rnacentral:rRNA from 1 species
CCAGCGGUAGGGACCUUCGGGUUCUGAGAGCGGCGCACGGGUGCGUAACGCGUAUGCAAUCUGCCUUAUGCAGGGGGAUAGCCCGGGGAAACCCGGAUUAAUACCCCAUAGAUCAAUAGAAUCGCAUGGUUUAAUUGGUAAAGAUUUAUCGGCAUAAGAUGAGCAUGCGUCUGAUUAGCUAGUUGGUAGGGUAACGGCCUACCAAGGCGACGAUCAGUAGGGGUUCUGAGAGGAUUACCCCCCACACUGGUACUGAGACACGGACCAGACUCCUACGGGAGGCAGCAGUGAGGAAUAUUGGUCAAUGGGCGCAAGCCUGAACCAGCCAUCCCGCGUGAAGGAUGAAUGCCUUAUGGGUUGUAAACUUCUUUUGUACCANAANAAAACCCCUGACGUGUCAGGGUUUGCCGGUAUGGUACGAAUAAGCAUCGGCUAACUCCGUGCCAGCAGCCGCGGUAAUACGGAGGAUGCAAGCGUUAUCCGGAUUUAUUGGGUUUAAAGGGUGCGCAGGUGGCUUUGUAAGUCAGUGGUGAAAGUCUGCCGCUUAACGGUAGGAUUGCCAUUGAUACUGCGGAGCUUGAGUUUGGAUGAGGUAGGCGGAAUGAGUANUGUAGCGGUGAAAUGCAUA